rnacentral:misc_RNA from 1 species
CACUUAAUACACACACAGAAGCGCGCACACAAACAAGUAGAGAAAGUGAUGAAAAGGGGCUUUAUUUUUAGAGUUCCGUAGCUAACCAUUUUUUUUUCCGAUUCUCUUUCUCUCCAGGACUUCAUCAUAAUCACAGGAAUCUUGUUUCUGAUCUUGAAAAUUGCUGCAGGAAAAUUUGAUUAGAAAAGUAAUUUUCUAGGAUUCUGUUGGUAUGAUUGGUGGAGUUGUUAUUCAAAUUUCGGUUCACAAGUGAAACCUUGUGAGGUCCGGGAAGUGUGGGACUAUUGAUAAUCUGGAAAUAAUAAAAUGGAGAAAAUUUGUGAAUUCUGCACAGCCUUGAGGCCAGUAGUUUACUGUGAGGCUGAUGCGGCAUAUCUUUGCCUUUCCUGUGACGCAAAGGUUCAUUCAGCUAAUGCACUCUCCAACCGACAUCUGCGUACCCUCCUAUGUGACUCCUGCAGAAAUCGCCCAGCUUAUGCUAGGUGUUUGGAUCACUGGAUUUUUGUGUGUCGUGUCUGUGACUGGAGCAUUCAUGGAGUCUCUUCCCCGCAUCAGAAAAGGAGUGUAAGUAGCUACAUGGGAUGCCCCUCUGCUAAAGAUUUUGCGGCAUUGUGGGGUUUUGAAUUGGAUGAGCUGGAUAAAAGUGCUAUUCGAGAUCAGUUAAUUUCUGCUCCAUCUGAUUCUGUGCAACCUAGUGUGGCAGUCUUUAGCAUUCCCAGAGAAUCUUGCCAGCAAAUUGGAAGCUCUUCAAGAACAUCUAAGGUGAAUUAUUCAACUCUGGCCUCUGGCACACAAUCUGAAGUGGGAUUAAGCAGCAAACAAGCUGAGGUGGGCAGAACUUAAAGAUUGUGAAAUAUCCAUGAUUCCCAGAUAUUUUUGUUGAUUUAAUUGGUGUUAUUUAUAAUUAUUCUUACUAACUUUCUUGAAAAUAGUAAUUUUUCAGACAUUCCAUCCUCCUUGACCCAUAUGUGAAGUCAGCUGAUAAUUGUUGCAUUGCAAUGGAGAAGCAGGAUGUUUUUUCCAUGCAUUUUGCAAUAUGCUAUUGAGGGGAAAAUAUUGGUUUUCAAAAAGAAAUAAAAAACUACUUUUAUGGUCCUAAAUACUUCAAAACCGUUUCUAGGUGCUCUUAGUAUUGUGUUUCAUCUUGCAGAAAUCAGGCAAAGGUCAACAACCGCAAAAUAAUGGCUUUAUUCUGCAACAGAUCCUUGAUUUGAAAAGGCUUCAGCUGACUGAGAUGGAUAACAGUUCACUGGUGAUUUGUGGUCGAGAAGACGUGGAUGUAUCUUCUUCAAUAUUUGAAACCUUGGAGAAGUUGGAUGACAGUGUUGAUCAACAUUCUCAAGAUCCUGGUAACAGUAGCUAUCCACUUCAGGACCUAAAGGUGGACUCUUUGCCUUUGUCAUUUUCUCAACCAGGGCCUUUGCCCUUGCCUUCCACUGUUGCAAAUCCUGUACUUGGAGAAUCCUUUUGGCAAUGCAAAAGCCCAGUACAAAGUAGCCAGUUGUGGUCUCAAAAUAUGCAAGAUCUUGGGGUCUGUGAAGACAUUGUUUCUCAUGAUGAUUUUAACAUACCAGAUGUUGACAUAACAUUUCGCAACUUUGAGGAGCUGUUUGGAACUGAGCAGGAUCCAAUCAGGGCUCUGCUUGAUGAUGAAGAUAAACCAUGCUACACUGUGCAGGAAAUGUCCUCCCUUGAUACAUCACACAACAGAAAUGCAAGAACAAAGGAGGUAAUUUUCAUGCCAACAUUCCCUGAAUUUCAAUUGAGAGAGCUAGAGAGGUACUGAAUUAUCUUUAUGUCCUGCUGUUUCUGAGGCUAACUAUAUCAUUGAUAAAACAUUGGGAAUAUAAAUAAAGAAUUAAUAAACAGAUUUCCAUGGGAUUUAAAGCUGUAAUAUUCCAAAUUCGUUCCAUUCAAGAAUUUGUAUUAGACCCUUCUCUUUGUUCCAUUCAAGAAUUUGUAUUAUACGCUUCAGGAGAUUUAGAAUACUAACUUACUGAAGGUUUUCUUAUUAUUUUUUUUUCUAUUUGUUCUUCUGCUCUAAUUUUGUGUCAUGACAGGACACUUCUUGUGACACCCCUCACUCGUCUACAGUGUAGCCGAGCAAGGAGUGCCACAUUCAGUGCCGAAGCACCUUAUUUAUCCUGUUGUGUCCAUUGUAAAUUUUUAAAAUUUGUAGAAAACAUGUGAAAUUUUUUUUUAUCAGAAUUUAUUUAUGUGGAUACCUGGGCAGAACUGAUGUUGACUAAUCCGCAAGUAUACGGGU